rnacentral:rRNA from 1 species
GACGAACGCUGGCGGCGUGCCUAAUACAUGCAAGUCGAACGCAGUGGGGACGGGUGAGUAACACGUGGGUAACCUCCCAUCAGGGGGGAUAACACUUGGACACAGGUGCUAAACCGAUACUGAUGGAUGAACCCGCGGUGCCUUAGCUAGUUGGUGAGGUAACGGCUCACCAAGGCAACGAUGCAUAGCCGACCUGAGGGGGUGUUCGGCCACCUGGGGACGGAACACCGGCCCAGAUCCUUCCGGGGGGAAGCAGGGGGAAAUCUUCGGCAAUGGAGAAAAGUCUGACCGAGCAACGCCGCGUUGGUGAAGAAGGUUUUCGGUUGUAAAAACUCUGUUGUUAGAGAAGCGGUAUCUAACCAGAAAGCCACGGCUAACUACGUGCAAGCGGCGGCGGUAAUA